GGUCUGAGAGGACGACCAGCCACACUGGAACUGAGACACGGUCCAGACUCGUACGGGAGGCAGCAGUGGGGAAUUUUGGACAAUGGGCGAAAGCCUGAUCCAGCAAUGCCGCGUGAGUGAAGAAGGCCUUCGGGUUGUAAAGCUCUUUUGUCAGGGAAGAAACGGUGAGAGCUAAUAUCCUUUGCUAAUGACGGUACCUGAAGAAUAAGCACCGGCUAACUACGUGCCAGCAGCCGCGGUAAUACGUAGGGUGCAAGCGUUAAUCGGAAUUACUGGGCGUAAAGCGUGCGCAGGCGGUUUUGUAAGUCUGAUGUGAAAUCCCCGGGCUCAACCUGGGAAUUGCAUUGGAGACUG
rnacentral:rRNA from 2 species